rnacentral:rRNA from 1 species
UAGGGAAAUCUUCCACAAUGGGCGAAAGCCUGAUGGAGCAACGCCGCGUGUGUGAUGAAGGGUUUCGGCUCGUAAAACACUGUUGUAAGAGAAGAAUGACAUUGAGAGUAACUGUUCAAUGUGUGACGGUAUCUUACCAGAAAGGAACGGCUAAAUACGUGCCAG